rnacentral:ribozyme from 1 species
CCCUAGAUCUAUUUACUCCUUGGACUUCUUCUUUUUCUUCUUCUUUUCCUUUUUGUCCUAUUUAUUGAAGGUGAGGAGGCAAGAACAGAGAAAGUGAGUUACCUGGGCGCCUCUUCCAACGAUUACAAACAAAAAC